rnacentral:rRNA from 1 species
CAUAGGUUAAUGAGGCGAACCGGGGGAACUGAAACAUCUAAGUACCCCGAGGAAAAGAAAUCAACCGAGAUUCCCCCAGUAGCGGCGAGCGAACGGGGAGGAGCCCAGAGCCUGAAUCAGUGUGUGUGUUAGUGGAAGCGUCUGGAAAGGCGCGCGAUACAGGGUGACAGCCCCGUACACAAAAAUGCACAUAUUGUGAGCUCGAUGAGUAGGGCGGGACACGUGGUAUCCUGUCUGAAUAUGGGGGGACCAUCCUCCAAGGCUAAAUACUCCUGACUGACCGAUAGUGAACCAGUACCGUGAGGGAAAGGCGAAAAGAACCCCGGCGAGGGGAGUGAAAAAGAACCUGAAACCGUGUACGUACAAGCAGUGGGAGCCUCUUUAUGGGGUGACUGCGUACCUUUUGUAUAAUGGGUCAGCGACUUAUAUUCUGUAGCAAGGUUAACCGAAUAGGGGAGCCGAAGGGAAACCGAGUCUUAACUGGGCGUUAAGUUGCAGGGUAUAGACCCGAAACCCGGUGAUCUAGCCAUGGGCAGGUUGAAGGUUGGGUAACACUAACUGGAGGACCGAACCGACUAAUGUUGAAAAAUUAGCGGAUGACUUGUGGCUGGGGGUGAAAGGCCAAUCAAACCGGGAGAUAGCUGGUUCUCCCCGAAAGCUAUUUAGGUAGCGCCUCGUGAAUUCAUCUCCGGGGGUAGAGCACUGUUUCGGCAAGGGGGUCAUCCCGACUUACCAACCCGAUGCAAACUGCGAAUACCGGAGAAUGUUAUCACGGGAGACACACGGCGGGUGCUAACGUCCGUCGUGAAGAGGGAAACAACCCAGACCGCCAGCUAAGGUCCCAAAGUCAUGGUUAAGUGGGAAACGAUGUGGGAAGGCCCAGACAGCCAGGAUGUUGGCUUAGAAGCAGCCAUCAUUUAAAGAAAGCGUAAUAGCUCACUGGUCGAGUCGGCCUGCGCGGAAGAUGUAACGGGGCUAAACCAUGCACCGAAGCUGCGGCAGCGACACUAUGUGUUGUUGGGUAGGGGAGCGUUCUGUAAGCCUGUGAAGGUGGCCUGUGAGGGUUGCUGGAGGUAUCAGAAGUGCGAAUGCUGACAUAAGUAACGAUAAAGCGGGUGAAAAGCCCGCUCGCCGGAAGACCAAGG